rnacentral:lncRNA from 1 species
GAGCUGAGGUACUGAACAUUGCUAAAAAACUAUGUGAGGGUAAAACAAAAGAGGUCUAUGAAUUGCUUGUUAGAUAGGCCAGGAAAAGUCCUGCAAUCUAAGGACCAGAUUACAGCAGGAAAUGCAGUCAGAAUCACCUGGAAGGAAAAGCUGCAAUCUCAAAUAAAAUUACCAGUUGCAUUUUUCUGUUGUUACAGGAAGCAGGUAUUAAAACUGCUUUCACCAGAAAAUGUGAGGAGACAGCUUUCAUUGUGCCCCAGUGUGAAAUAAUUCCAACUGAAUGGUUUGCAGAAGAAUACCAACUGGUUCUUCACUCGAAAGAAAUCCUGGUGUCAAGGAAGGAUGUGAGUUUUGCCCACCUAAAGUGGAGAUGUUUUUCAAGGAUGAUGCCAAUCAUGACCCACAGUGGUCUAGGCAACAGCUAAUUGCAGCAAAAUUUGGCUUUGCUGCACUUGGUAUAAAACUGAAGUGGAUAUCAUGAGUCAUGCCACAUAGGCUGUUUUUGAAAUCCCGGAGAAAUCCCGGUUGCUCCCAGAACUGUACACCGGUUGAUAUGAAGAUUGAAUUUGGUGUUCAUGUGACCAGCAAAGAAAUUCUCACUGAUGUUAUUGAUAAUGACUCCUAGAGACACUCACCAUCGGGGGAGCAAAGCCAAUAGAAAGACAUGUAACUCCUGAAGGGUUCCAAAUGGUAAGGAAAAACUUUGCGUGGGUUGUAGAGAGUAGAGUUGCUUUUGAAAUCAGAAAGUCAGUGCAGUGUUAUAGUAUUGAUGGGUUCUACUUCUGAUCUUAAUCACCGUGAAAAAAAUCAAGGCCUGUGGAAAUUUUGGCAUUCCAUGUAGACUUUGAGUAACAUCUGCACAUAAAGGACCAGAAGAAAUGCUGAGGAUUAAAGCUGAGUAUGAAGGGGUGGCAGUCGUACUGUAUUUGUGGCAGUGGCAGGCAGAAGCAAUGGUUUGGGAUCAGUGAUGUUUGGGAACACUACACAUCCAGUUAUCUAUUGUCCUCCCCUCACACCAGACUGAGGAGUUCAGGAUGUGUGGUCUUCUCUGCGACUACUCAGUGGUCUCGGCUAUUCAACCAUACUUUCUCCAGAAGGAUCAGCUCAGUUUGCUACUCAGAUAUUUGGAUUAAACAACCAUUUAUUAUGGGGCAAACUGCAAGCAAGCACUUUGAACACAUGGAUUUUUUGGAAGAAAGGUGACAAGAAAAUCAGAG